GUGUAAUCAUGGAGUGGUAAUAAAGUUAUCUUUUUCAAAUUGUAAAGAAAUAUAUACUGUAGGCUGUUUGUCACAGCUCGCCACACAGCAAAGCGGCGAGCUCGGUGUCAAGUGAACACGCUGACCCGUUUGCCUCAUCUGCCCCCAGCCUGUUGUGAGUGUGAGUCCUCGUCCAGCUUGUGUGACUCUUUAUUGAUUAUUGUGUGUUUCUGAGUGCCCCUCCCCCGCAGCCCCUUCCUCCGUCGCCUGGAGAUCAAAUCUCGGGGACGCUCAGUUAAAUGAAAGCGCUUCAACGCAGGCUUUAAACGAAAGCCCUCAAAGGCCAGCCGCAGCGGCUACUGGCUUCAGCGGAUUGAUGCCGACGGCCCUUCUCAGCCCUGCGCUCCAGUCAACUAAGAAUGAAGAGGAGAAUGAGAGGGAGAUGAAGAGUUUGAAGGACUAUUCAGAUGCCUGGAAGGUAAUCAGGAAAUGCCAACGGGGACUUUCUCCGGGUCAACAGCCACUUGCAGCUGCUGCUGCUGCUGCUGCUGCUAAGCAAGGCAGUGUGUUUAGUGAGUGCAAAGAAGUACGGAGAUAAUAAAAGACUUGAGCUUUGGGUAACCUCUGCAAUUCCUUGAGGCCAAAAUUAGCCAAAUGUGGUUAAACGGAGCAGGCCUCAUGAUGGAAUGGGCCUUGAAAAAUGCAAAGUGGGACGCUUCUGCAGAGGCUUGGGUGUACCCUGCAUAAGAAAACUCCUAUUCAAUGGAAAAGCAAGCAUUCUAUCAAAUCAAUAGCUAUCAGCAAAAACAAAAAACAAAAAAAAAAACCCUGACCUGCAGUCAUCCGAUUGAAAACUGGAGUUAGGGGGAAGCUGACAGCCUGUGUGCUCAAAGUCUGGUUCCAUUAGGGUCCAGUUGGAGCCCAUUUAAAGAGAGGUGAUCCUAAAGCUCCUCUCCCAAGACUUGGUGCUUUGCAGAACACACGAGUGGAUCGAUACCAAUGACAAGGUAGUAGAGGAGGCGGUGGUGGGGAUGGGGGGAGAUGAGGUGACGAAGGGAUGAGAGGUAAAAAAAAAAAAGCGCGAUAAGCUGAGAUCGAUCCAAAGACAAGGACUGCUGCUGCGUGCAGAGAAAGGACAGAGGAAUGCAACGUGCUGCAGAUUUACUCUUGUUUACUUCAUCAAACUCGAGAGGGGGACCCGCCAUUGUACACACACACACACACACACACACACACACACACAGACACACACAAAACAAAAGACUCGUCUCUGGAGUGUUAAACCAUCAUCAUCGCACACACACAGAAAGAAGAACAGUGAUGGAAUUUGUAUUAUUUUAUAAACUGGAAAAAAUCCAUUAGGUCUGAAAUAAUUUCAGUCUUCACACUAAACUGUGAACUGACAAGGAAACUUUUUAAAGUUAGCAUCUAAUUUACUUCAAAACGACCAUCAUAGCUCACAACACAGAUUUGAUGAAAUUAAAAACUGAUCAGUCAAUCAUUCCAGUCCAAUGUGUGGAAACACUUUGAAUUUAGCAAAGUCAUGUGACCACACAGUGUGCUAGAAUGUUCUGCUAUGUUCCCUUUGGAUUCUGUGGAUGUGGAAAAUCAACAGUGGGCCUAACUUUAAUCCUAAUA
ensembl:lncRNA